AUGCCGCUCUCCAGUCUGCUCUGGGUGCUCCUGGCCUUCCCCUUCUCUGGAUCUGGUGUGGCCCAGAAAGUUACCCAAGACCAGCCAUACAUAACCAGUCAAAUAGGGCAAUCUGUCAUUCUGAACUGUCGGUAUGAAGUAAGUUGGAGUGGGUACACGCACUACCUUUUUUGGUAUAAGCACCUUCCCAGUGGAGAGAUGACUUUCCUUAUUCGUCAGGAAUCUUCUGGCCCGAAUGCAAGGAAUGGCCGCUACUCUGUAAACUUUCAGAGAGCACGGAACUCCAUCAGCCUCACCAUUUCAGCCUUACAGCCAGAAGACUCCGCAACGUACUUUUGUGCAGUCUGGGAACUCACAGUGCUUAAAGUAAUGAGAAAAGCUGUACAAAAACCCCAGAUCUUAAUAAGAGAGAGCCCCCCUGCUGCAGGACCCCAGCUGAAAUGCACACCUGCAGACCUCAGACAAGAAAUGGUAGUCCUGUGGUUGCUUCAUCUGUGGUCUGGAUCAGAAGAUUUAAUUUUAAACAAAAACUCCUUCCAUGUCAUUUGGAAACAGGUGUCCAGAGUAACUUUCUACUAA